UACAGAGGGGCAAGCGUUGUUCGGAAUUACUGGGCGUAAAGGGCGCGUAGGCGGCCCGCUAAGUCGAACGUGAAAUCCCGAGCUCAACUCGGGAACUGCGUCCGAUACUGGCGGGCUUGAAUCCGGAGAGGGAUGCGGAAUUCCAGGUGUAGCGGUGAAAUGCGUAGAUAUCUGGAGGAACACCGGUGGCGAAGGCGGCAUCCUGGACCGGCAUUGACGCUGAG
rnacentral:rRNA from 1 species